rnacentral:tRNA from 1 species
GUGUAUCUAUUGUAAAUAAGCAAAUUUAUUUUCCAAAUAAAAAGUCGAUAAACCGGUUACAUA